AAAAGAAAAAAAGAGAAAAAGGAAAGAGGGGUUAGGGUUGUGAAGAGGAGAAGAAGGAGACCCAAAGUGUUGCUCCAAAGUGUGAUUUUUCUUCAAUUUUUCCAUUGAAAUUCCUUAAAGCUGCAUUCAAUCCAAGGUACUCAAGUAUAGCUGUGGAAGUUUGUUGCUUCAUCGAGUCCUGUUGGUGUGUCGCUCUGAUACGUAGCACUCGGGGGGGGGUCGUUUAUAUCGCUAUUUCUAUGUUGUCGAUGUUUUUAGUUGUUGUUAUUAUAACCGUUGAAUCCAAGUUGAAUAAUAUGAAACACUUAUUAUACUUCCAAGUUGUUUAAGUUGAGAUAAAGAUGAUAGUCGACUGUUAUUCGAAUGCUAUGUAUCAUUGUUGAAUGAAAUACAAGUUGAAGUUAUAAGUUGA